UACGGAGGUCCCAAGCGUUGUUCGGAAUUACUGGGCGUAAAGGGAGCGCAGGCGGACAGGCCAGUCUAAAGUGGAAUCCCGGGGCUCAACCUCGGAACUGCUUCGGAUACUACCUGUCUUGAGUUCGUGAGAGGAAAGCGGAAUUCAGGGUGUAGCGGUGAAAUGCUUAGAUAUCCUGAGGAACACCAAUGGCGAAGGCAGCUUGUUGGCGCGAUACUGACGCUGAGGCUCGAAAGCGUGGGGAGCGAACGGG
rnacentral:rRNA from 1 species